rnacentral:tRNA from 1 species
GCCCAGGUGGUGAAAUUGGUAGACACAAGGGACUUAAAAUCCCUUAGGCAUUUGUCUGUGCGGGUUCAAAUCCCGCUCUGGGCA